rnacentral:rRNA from 1 species
UCGGGAAUUUUGCGCAAUGGGCGAAAGCCUGACGCAGCAACGCCGCGUGAGGGAUGAAGGCCUUGGGUUGUAAACCUCUUUUCUCAGGGACGAUGAUGACGGUACCUGAGGAAUAAGCCACGGCUAACUACGUGCCAGCAGCCGCGGUAAUACGUAGGUGGCAAGCGUUGUCCGGAUUUACUGGGCGUAAAGAGCGCGCAGGCGGUCAAUCAAGUCGAGUGUGAAAGCCCCCGGCUCAACUGGGGAGGGUCACUCGAUACUGCUUGACUCGAAGGCGGGAGAGGGAAGUGGAAUUCCCGGUGUAGUGGUGAAAUGCGUAGAUAUCGGGAGGAACACCAGUGGCGAAGGCGACUUCCUGGCCCCGUUCUUGACGCUGAGGCGCGAAAGCUAGGGGAGCAAACGGGAUUAGAUACCCCGGUAGUCCUAGCCGUAAACGAUGGACACUAGGUGUUGGUGGUAUCAACCCCGCCAGUGCCGUAGCUAACGCAUUAAGUGUCCCG